GACGAACGCUGGCGGCGUGCUUAACACAUGCAAGUCGAACGCUGAAGCACCAGCUUGCUGGUGUGGAUGAGUGGCGAACGGGUGAGUAAUACGUGAGUAACCUGCCCUUGACUCUGGGAUAAGCCCGGGAAACUGGGUCUAAUACUGGAUGCUACAUGUCACCGCAUGGUGGUGUGUGGAAAGGGUUUACUGGUCUUGGAUGGGCUCACGGCCUAUCAGCUUGUUGGUGAGGUAAUGGCUCACCAAGGCGACGACGGGUAGCCGGCCUGAGAGGGUGACCGGCCACACUGGGACUGAGACACGGCCUAGACUCCUACGGGAGGCAGCAGUGGGGAAUAUUGCACAAUGGGCGAAAGCCUGAUGCAGCGACGCCGCGUGAGGGAUGACGGCCUUCGGGUUGUAAACCUCUUUCAGCAGGGAAGAAGCCACAAGUGACGGUACCUGCAGAAGAAGCGCCGGCUAACUACGUG
rnacentral:rRNA from 1 species